rnacentral:rRNA from 1 species
AAGGAUUCCCCUAGUAAUGGCGAAUGAAGCGGGAACAGCUCAAAUUUGAAAUCUGCGUCGCUUGCGACGCCGAAUUGUAGUUACCAGAAACACUUUCCAGGCGGUUGCGGCGCCCUCCAAGUUGCUUGGAACGGCACGUCGUAAAGGGUGAUAACCCCGUCCGUGGCGGUCGCCGUCCGCUGGUGAUGUGUUUUCGAAGAGUCGGGUUGUUUGGGAAUGCAGCCCAAAACGGGUGGUAAACUCCAUCUAAGGCUAAAUAUCGGCACGAGACCGAUAGCGAACAAGUACCGUGAGGGAAAGAUGAAAAGCACUUUGAAAAGAGAGUUAAAAAGUACGUGAAACCGUUGAAAGGGAAACGGAUGUGACUAGCAAUGCGCCCCGCGAGAUUCAGCCGGGCUUCGCUCCGGGCGGGCGGUUUUUGCGGAUCCCAAUGGACCGCGSCCCACCCC